UUCAAUGUUCAUGAUGAAAAUGCAUAAUCCCAGCUCUAUGAGGCCUUGUUAUCAAAGGUCAGUGAAUAAGACUGUUUCCAACAUUUAUCUGAGCAACUAAA